rfam:Pseudomonas knackmussii B13 complete genome
UGGUCAGGGGGCCGGGAGGCUGGGGGGAGCAGUGGAGCCGCAGCCACCCAGGGGUACAGGGAGUACCUCCGCAGAGGGCCGGGCCAGGUGAAAA